rnacentral:lncRNA from 1 species
CGUCACCCUCUGUGCCCUGGGCUGACCUGGCAGUGCUCUGGGUGGCAUGCCCGCUGCUCAGUGCAUCCCUUUGGGUGCCCUAACCUCUCCCCGCCAGUGCUCCAGGCUCUUGUUCAGGGUGCAGAGGGGCCUUCUGGCUGCCCAGGGCCCCUGCUGAAGAAGGGUAGACAAACCCCUCGCCUCUCUCCUCAGUGGCCAAGGAGGCCCCAGGCUGUGCUCUGGGCACUGGCAGGCCGAGAGCAUAGCUUCCUCCUCUCGGACUUCUGCUGAAGGUGGCCUUGCCCCCUAAAGCCCAAAGCCACCUGCAGCCUCAAGGGAGGAGUGGGUGUGGUUUUCUCUUAGCAAGCUGGGGGUGGGACGCAGGUAACCCCCCAUCUGGAUGCAGAGGGCCAGGGUGCCCCUGAUGUGCACCAGAAGCAGAGCCUCCGAGAGAUGGGCGGGCAGUGGGGGCUCUGCCCUGUGGGUCCUGCAGCCCCGAUCAUCGCUGACACCACAGGCUCCCCAGAGCUCCCCCUUUACUCUCACUAACGCUUCUGCUCCCGUACUUCCCUGUGCAUAAUCUAGGACCUCAGACCUGGCCAAGGGGCACCACCUCUGCUGCGCAGGCCCUGAGCUCUGCCCACCAGGUGGGCGACCUGUCCCCCAGACUCCCCAGGCCAGCUUGUCCCUACCUGGUUUCCACCAGCCUGAAGGCAGGAGGUCUGUCCAUGGUCUCGUGGCCGCAUGACCCAAGGCUCACCCGCAUCAGUGCUCUGCUCGUCCCGGAGGGCUGGUAAGGGUGCCCAUGGGCCUGGUAUGGGUGGGGGGCAUGUUAAUCUCCUGGAAAUAUUUCUUUUCCGUUCUGGAGGAUGGAAGGCCAAGAUCAAGAUGUUGGCAGGGCUGUGCUCCCUCUGAAACCUGUAGGAAAGACCUUUCUCUUCCAGUUUCUGGAGGCUUCUGGCAACCCUCGUGUCCUUGGCUUGUGGCAGCGUCCGUCCGGACGUUUUCUUCGUUUUCAUUUCCUAAUGUGUCCUUUUCUUUCUCUUACGAGGAGACUUUCAGGGGAUUUAGGGCCCAGAACGAUCUCAUCUCUAAUCUUACCUUAAUUACAUCUGCAAAGACCCUAUUUCCAAAUAAGGUCACGUUCUAAGGUUCCAGGUGACAUGAAUUUUGGAGGGAAACCACUCAAUCCACUGCUGAGGGGAGACACAUGCAGGAAACCAGAAUGGGGGGGCACUCAGUAGUGCCCAGGAGUGUAGCCGAGGGCACACAUAGGUGGGGUUCCCAGACAUCUACCCGGAAGUGACAACUGGACAUGGAGCAGGCAGAAUGACCUUCGAGGGGCCAGGGUCUUGGUGGCAUCCAGGGAUAGUUGGCCAGGCAUUAGGCUGUGGCCAUAUGUAGCCAGACAAGGAUCUAGGCCCCGCGGGGCCGGCUGGACACAGAACAAUGGCUUCUCUCCGCCACUGCCAGCGGGCGUCUCGGCCAGGCCUCUGUGCUCCAGGUCUACAGGCCAGGCCAGGCCGAGGACCAUGCCUGCUUCUCUGAGACCUCCUGGUUGGGGACCUCUCCUUCCGGGAGUCUGGGUGGCCGUCCACUCCCGCCCUGUGCCUUUCUCUGCUGCUGCUGCUGCCUCUCGAGGCCCCUCCUCUGAUCCUGCAAAAGCUGGGAGGGUCCAGCCUGUUCAGGCCUUGGGAGCGCCCCUCCUGGGGCUGGGAGGCAGGCCCGGGGACUCCAGUGCCUGAUCCCCGCCUGCCCUCCGCCCGCCCUGUCCCCCGCAGUAUGGCAUCAAGAAGAAGGAGGAGCGUGAGGCCGAGGCCCAGGCUGCCAUGGAGGCCAACUCGGAGGGCAGCCUGACAAGGCCCAAGAAGGCCAUCCCACCGGGCUGUGGGGAUGAACCGGAGGAGGAGGACGAGAGCAUCCUGGACACGGUCAUCAAGUACCUGCCUGGACCACUGCAGGACAUAUUCAAGAAGUAACAGCCACGGAGCCGGACAGCAGCUCGCCCGAGCCCGGAGCCCCUGCCCCCUCGCCCACCCCCAGUCCUGCCCUCCGCGGAGGCCCCUGAAGGGAUGUCGGGAGCAGAGUGCAGCCCUCCAACACCAGUAUAAGCCAUAGUCCUGGGUCUUUCCGCCCCAUGCCCCCCUUAUGCCUUGGGAGCCUCUGCCCACCUCUCACCCCACCUCAUCCCCGCACUGCCAUCGCCACUACCACCGAGGGAGGGGCACCCUACCGCCCCACCCAGGGCCCCUGCGGUCUGCUGGAGGCUCUGGGGACCAGCCCACGUGCUCGUCUGGCAGCAGGUGGGUUGGACCCUCCCCCAGAGCCUGGGAAGCCCCUUUCUGCUCCAGCCCUUCACCACCCACCCAGCAGGGCCCUUGGCCAGGGCCACCUUAAGGGCCAGUCCCUCGACCACCUCUGCGUUGGCGGGCGCAAACUCAGGAGCACAGCCAUAGUAGGGGGCAGCGGUCGUGCAGGCUGGGGUGGGGGUAGGAGAGGCCAGCAGCUGGCCCGGGCUCACUGCCUGGGAUCAGCCUGGCCCCCCCAACCCCUCCCCCGCACUGACACCUGGGUUGCUGUAUCUGUGUCUUCCUAGUGCUAGUCCCUAGUGCCUGCCCUCCACCUCCAUCCAUCUGCACCCCUUACCUUCUUCGUCCAGCUGUCUGCCCUCCCGGCCCUCUUCUUGUCCACUCCUCUGGAAGCCUUCGAUUCUGAGGAAUGCCAGGGCCUGCGCUCUCCCCCACCAAGGGAAACACAAAGUGACAGGCUUGGGAAAGCCUCAGAUAGGCGCUCAUGCAGCCCCAUAACUCCAGCUCCCCUGAGUCUGUCGGCCCGGCUGAGCCCAGCCCCACUCCCCUUCCUGGUUGCCAUGACCCGUGUCCUCCGAGGCUGCUCUGGGGGUGGAGUGUCCUGCCCUCACCCUCUGAACACCCACACCUUCGCCCAGAACCGGGAGGAGAAGCAGAGCCCUGGGGACCGGGCGCUGGGUGCCCGCAGAAGCAAGCGGAGUCAGAAGGCCCGCCCCUGUCCUGUGCCGUCCCUGCGCAGAUGCAGGCCCUCGAAUUGGGGUUGGCGCCCCUGCCACUUGGGCCAGCCGGGGUCAACAGAAACAGCCAAGGGCCUCCCAACCCUCACGUUUCCUCUACCUUCGUUUAAUUUGCAUCACAAUAUGUCGAAUCUCAGGUAAUUGAGGUCUUACGUAUUUGAGGAGUUUUAUCGUGACAGGAAGCCUCUCGCCUCAGUCCCUGGGGCCUUUUCUGUCUCGUCGAAAAUUCAUCGUGUCCACGUGUCGCGGGCCAGGGGCGCGGGCCUCCCUAGCUCUUUAGAGAAGCCAUACGACUAGACGCAAUACGAACCACCGCCGCCCCCCAGUUCCCAGCCGCGGGCGCGCCCCGCCUCCUCCCGGUCCCACGUCUUUUUUAAAUGCCUGUUUUCACACGUUAAAAAGCCAGCUCUGAGCAGACAGGGCGCUAUCUCUAGAAACCCCGCAUCCUGCUCCGGGCGCGUGGGACGCCCAAGCAGCCGAGCUUAGUGUAGACCGUGGAUGUCCCCGUCGUCUGUCCUGGCGCCCGUGACUCCUCCUGCAUGCGGGGGCCUCUCCAGAUGGAGUCACAGCCAAUAAACACCACAGUGAUUUCA